CCUACGGGUGGCUGCAGUGGGGAAUAUUGGACAAUGGGGGGAACCCUGAUCCAGCCAUGCCGCGUGUGUGAAGAAGGCCCUCGGGUUGUAAAGCACUUUCAGUGAGGAAGAACGCCUGGUGGUUAAUACCCAUCAGGAAAGACAUCACUCACAGAAGAAGCACCGGCUAACUCCGUGCCAGCAGCCGCGGUAAUACGGAGGGUGCGAGCGUUAAUCGGAAUUACUGGGCGUAAAGCGCGCGUAGGUGGCUUGAUAAGCCGGUUGUGAAAGCCCCGGGCUCAACCUGGGAACGGCAUCCGGAACUGUCAAGCUAGAGUGCAGGAGAGGAAGGUAGAAUUCCCGGUGUAGCGGUGAAAUGCGUAGGGAUCGGGAGGAAUACCAGUGGCGAAGGCGGCCUUCUGGACUGACACUGACACUGAGGUGCGAAAGCGUGGGUAGCAAACAGGAUUAGAUACCCGUGUAGUC
rnacentral:rRNA from 1 species